UGCUCUUCCGAUCUAUCUAAUGUGCACACAUUUUAUGGAACUUCAGAUGAUCAAGCAUGAUGCUGUAAGCCAAACUGUACAAGCAUCCUAUCUCACUUGCUACUGUAUUGAUGGUGAUUCUCUUGUCAGCAUGAAUCAUCAUCUCACCAUGCUUCAUAGUUGCCACAGCUGCAGUUUCCAAAGCCAGCCUGACCAAUCUACAUCAAUGACUUUCGUGUGUCCAUUAGCAAACUUCUUUACCCAGUUGUGUGCUAUUUAUCAUGAUAAUGUAUGCUGCCCAAAUGUAGGAACAGGUUCUUUGUGAAUGUUCUUCACCGUAAAUCCUUUUGCACACAAAAACCACACAACUGACUGUUUGCUCUUUGAUUAUACACUUUCCAACACAGUCACUAUGUUGUUGUGGACAUAGCACCAGCUGCAUUUACUGUGAGAGAUUCUUUCUUAUAGGUUGAAAGUUACCCUUUUACAUGGUACAAUCAGCAUAUCCAUACCAACAUAGUCAAGCCCUACUUGAAUUUAUAACUUACUGACUCUCUUUAUAUAAUUG
rnacentral:lncRNA from 1 species